rfam:Aspergillus calidoustus genome assembly, contig: SCAF7
GGUCCCGUAGCUUAGUCGGUUAAAGCGUCAAGCUUAUAACUUUCUCAUGAGGGAGUCUUGGCGAUCGCGAGUUCGAUCCUCGCCGGGACCA